UGAUAUUGUUCAUUUUCAUGAAAGAUUUGACAAAGUUGAUUUUGAGAAUCCUCUUCUUCAGUUGUUGUUGUUCCCAGAUCUUCAAUUUACAUAGUUAAUAAUGAAACAGAGACCAACGUAAUGAAUCAAAGGCUCCCCAUGGACGCAAUCACAACAGAAACUACAGACUGGACCUGUAAAGUACAGGUAGUAGACAAGUUUCGGCCUUGCAAAAGCAGCAACUCUUCCGUGCAUUUCCAGACAAUACUUGUACAGGAUGAAAGUGAACAAGAGGCUUCUAUAAUACUCUACGACGAUGACAUUCCCAAGUACGAGAAUUUUUUUGGCCUUUUCGAGGCAUAUUUGG